rnacentral:rRNA from 1 species
GGUCACAGCCAUUCCACCCUGAAUGCCCCCAAUCUGGCCUGAUCUCCAAAGGUAAGCAGGGUUGGGCCUGGUUAGUACUUGGGUGGCGGACUCAGUAACGUCCCCCACCCAAGAGACUUGCAGUCUCCC